GGUGCCCACCAGCUUAACCACAGCACACACUGCAACUCAUUCAUACGAGAAACACACGAAAUGUAGGCUGUGUUGAGAAAUAAAUAGCAGAAUUGUAAUUAGGGGCCAGAGGAAAAGGGUGUGAAGACCAUGUCAAGAUUUAUGCCUGUGAGAUGGGUUGCAGAAUUGACCUGAGCAGACCAGGCUUCCGAGGGUCAAAAAAGCGUCUGAAGGAGAGACACUGAGUGCAUUCUGGGUUCACAUUCCCCUCCUCUACUGCAUUCCUGAAUUUUCUGCCUCACAGCGGCAUCUGAAGCAGUGGCUGUAUGUGUCCUUAACCACCCUUCAAGUCCACAACAUGUCAUAUUACCUCAUUUUGGCUCCCUGGGACUAUUUUGGAGGACCUGAAUUAGUCAUGUGGGGUACUUGAUUAAAAAUCACUUGAACAGCC
ensembl:lncRNA LINC00427 long intergenic non-protein coding RNA 427